AACUCAGGCUUCCAUGGCACUUAGAGUACCUGUUUCCAGGGAAUACAAGAAAGCAACCAUUUCCUCAAAGAACUCAGGCCACCCCACACCUGGGAUGGUAGAAAUGGGCACCUUGAUUGACAGAGCCUGUGAGCUACAGCAUCCCAACGGUGGGCGUGAGCUCAGUGAAUUUGUUCCAGCAAGUUCCUUAGUCUUUAUGAAACAGCCGUCAGCUCUUUUUAGAGUAGGUGACUGAUACCUGCAUAUAUAUCUGACUAGUUUUCAAGUAAGCAUAAAUGUUCUUAUAAAGAAUAGAAUGCAAUGUCAUUUAAAACAUUGGGCUUAUACUAAUGCUAUAUCUUUAUGAAUCUUCUCAGUCAACGGCCACCAAAUAUAUAGCUACCUCCCAUAGCGCUCCGUAAUAUAUUUUUCUUUAAAAAAUACUCAAGCUACCUUCAGCAAAAGUUUUUAACCUAUUUUGUGUCAUAGAUCCUUUGGUGGUCUGGCAAGAACUAUAGACUUCUUCUGAGAGUAAUGUCUUUAAACACAUAAAAUAAAACAUAGGAGUAAAAAAAAGAUUCUUAUGAAGUACCUAUGAAGCAUGGAAAUACACAGUUUUUAAACUAUAUGUAUUUGGCCUUUUUACUGAAUGAGUUUUUUUCCAAUGAAAGUUUUCCAAACGUGGGGGCAAAUUUGGAAUUAUUUCCUGUAACACAGUUGUCAAUAUUGGGACCAAGAAAAUGAGGCUCAAAGAAAAAUUUCUUGACUGUCUUUAUGCCUGCCUCCUCCUUUUUGUCUGGUUAAUUCUUACUUAAUCCUUCGAAUCACAGUGCACACGUGGCUUCUUUGGGAAGUCUUCUUCUGACCUGACUAGGUCUAUGUUCCUUUUGUGGUACCUUUUAUAUUACUAUGACUCCCUGCCUCCGCCUACCCACCUACCAUACAUGCAUGAACAUAUGUCUCAGUUAUCAAAUAGCGUGACUUUUUGGACAGUCUGUUUUGUCUCUGAGACUCUCAGUUUUGCCCAGGAGUACAGGACUGAACCUGGUUCCAUCGCUGGUCCCUCGCAUGGUACUGGGGACCUAACCUGAGCUCACUGAAAUUUGCUACAUGGAUCCCUAAGUGUGUAGACACCCAAGAGUCAUCACAGGGUCAAAUCUGAUUUUCUCCUCACAACAUACAAAGUUAGAAGACAAAGUGCCCAAAUUCUGGCGCUCUUCACGAAAUAGGUGCUAAAAGGUUGUAGUGGGUCACAACAUCUUUGCAGUUCACAGGCGAUUUUUGUUUUAAAAAUUCAUUCAGAAGAAAGAACUGGAAACAGAAGUGACGAGAAAGGAUGGUCGGAAUAGGGUUGCUUGAUGGAGAAAUUCAACAGCAUUGUCUAAUUUAGAAGAACAAAGCCUACAGUCAGAAUGUAAGUCAAAUUAAUGUAAUACCCAUCCAAAAAAUAACCAUUUCUGGAAUUGUCAGUGGAGACCAAAACUGAAUAGAUCAGUAGGUUAUGGGUGGACAUACCUAUUGACAAACGCAGUCCCGCUGGUAGCGGGUCUCUCCAUCUGCAUUUCCUGCAGACCUUCUUUUCCUGCUGGAGCAGUGGCUCUUUCUGAUGGGGAAUCCACUCCAUGGAAUCAAUACUGACCCUGCCUGCCUACCCGUUACAUCAGAGGGCUCUGUCUCAUCGCUCACAGUCAUUGGUUCUGAAAUGGACAUGUGACCUAAACUGAGCCAAUCAGAGUCUUCCUGGAGACUGCUCUGCUAAGGAGGAAGUCCCUCUCAGCCUGAUGGGUGGGCAAAGCUCUAGCUAAUUUGUGGUUUUGGAGGGGCUGAUGUGCCUCAUGCCUACUAUGUGGGUGGGCACACCUGGAGAAGUGGAGAGAAACGCAUGCGUGAUUGCAUUCUCUAGGCCUUUGGCCCGGAAUCAGUAACAUCCUGGGACGUUUUGGUUAUUUGCGCCCAUCAGUUCCUUUUUUUUUUUUUUUUUUCCUUUCGUUUUGCUCGAGUUGGCUUCCUGUCACUUGCAACUGCUGAAACAUCUGUAGUUUAUUUCACGUUAAUGUGGCUUUAAAACAUUUCUUGGACUGGAUAAGUAGUGUUUUAAAAUUGCUUAGACCAAUGGCACAGUUUUGUAGGCCUAUCCAUGACAGAUCUAAAAUGGGCUAUUACAUAGUUUCUCCCCCAUUUUAGAUUUUCAUCCGAUUCUGAUACAGUUGUUGAGUGGCCCAUAAAACAGGAUAACCAGACAAUGCCUUCAAAAGGCAUCCUGAAACCAAUGUUUU